GAUCCUGGCUACGAGGACGAACGCUGGCGGCGUGCUUAACACAUGCAAGUCGAACGAGGUCCAUGAAGUAGCAAUACUUCGGAAGACCUAGUGGCGAACGGGUGCGUAACACGUGAGGAACUUGUCCCGGUCUCUGGGAUAACAGUUGGAAACGACUGCUAAUACCGGAUGACGUCGGAGCAUCGCAUGGUGCGCUGACGAAAGGGUUACUGGAUCGGGAGAGCCUCGCGGCCUAUCAGCUUGUUGGUGGGGUAACGGCCUACCAAGGCAUCGACGGGUAGCUGGUCUGAGAGGAUGAUCAGCCACACUGGGACUGAGACACGGCCCAGACUCCUACGGGAGGCAGCAGUGGGGAAUCUUGCGCAAUGGGCGAAAGCCUGACGCAGCAACGCCGCGUGCGGGAAGAAGGCUCUCGGGUUGUAAACCGCUUUCAGCAGGAACGAAAAUGACGGUACUUGCAGAAGAAGGUGCGGCCAACUACGUG
rnacentral:rRNA from 1 species